rnacentral:piRNA from 1 species
UUNUUGAUUCUGAGAGGUGCAGCUGGCC